CCAUCCUCCCCCUCGCACGAUCCCUCGCGUGAAAAAAAAUCGCCAAAGAAAACCAACGUUCCAAGCCAAAGAAAAGCUAGGGAAAAAAGUCCCCACGUUCUCCACCUUCUCCAUCCCUCCCCCACAUGCCGAUCUUUCCCAGGCCUUUCUCUCCCAAAUCCCGAACCAUCCCGUCUCCGUCCACCCAGAUCUGCUCUCUCGACGUCGCACCUCAAGGGUCUCCUCUCUCUCUCUCUCUCUCUCUCUCUCUCUCUCUCUCUCUCUCUCUCUCUCUCUCUCUCUCUCUCUCUCUCUCUCUCUCUCUCUCUCCGGCAACCGCGGGGGGACGCGCCGGCGCAGCCGUCCAAGCAUGCCCGCCUGGACACCUCGUUGGGAUUCGUCUGUGGGCUCGACCUAGGGCGCCACUACUCUCACAGCCAUGGGGCACGCGUCUUUUCCAACCUGCAUGCUCUCGCAGGGAGCCUGGCUGUGGACAUGUCAUCGUGAUGACGCUGGGGUCGUACAUCAUGGUCGCCGCCCCUGUCACAUCCAUGGCGACGACGGGGGUGCCGGUCGAGCUACCGAUUCCACCCGACGGACGAGGAGCUAGAGGUCGACUCGUACCUGCCGCCACUCUCCCACGUCUGCAAUCGUGAUGGCCAAUGGCGCUUGGUCCGCACGGCACGACACGCGUGUCCGGGAAGACCAACACGUGCAACGACCACAUCCUCGACAACGCCCCUGGGUGCUACCUGAACAAGCUUCUCACAUGGAUCUAUCUCUUUUCCUUUUUGCUUUGAGGUUGUGCUUGUCCGUGAAAAUAUAUGGUUGAUUGAUGAACUUUGUCUUCGUGUCUGUUUCAGAUCCUUAACGUCUUAAAAGACACGUCAGUCGGUCUGGAUGUGCAUCUCUCUAAUCUCUGAGCUAGCUAACUCCAUGCCGACGACCAACUAUGUGCGGAUGCCACAUCCAGGACAGGUGCGCUCCUGGAAGCAGCUCGACGUUGCCCUAGGCUUUACAUUCUGGUAAUGUGAAUAUCCAUCUGCCUCCUCUGCUCAGAGUCAUUGUUCUGAAACCCUGAAGUUUAUAGUAAGUUCACCCUCUACUGUUGUCGCAAGCAUCAUACAAUUAAAAUAGGUAAAUAGUACAACAAGUGGUUCGGUUCAUAGUGGGAUCCGGUAUGUCAUGCUCCUUCUACGAACAACAAAGACAAUGCAGCGACAAUUAAUCAGAGCUGCUGGUGAAUAAUAUGACUACAGAGAGUUGAGAUGUCACUAAUGGCUUCACCUAUGAGCUAUGAGUUGUCAAGGCUAUAUUAUUUAUCAUUUAUUUCAUGUAAUAUUGAUCAUGAUUAUAGCAACAGAGAAUACUUCCAUGUAGUUGUCUGAAUAUGGCAUGAAAGCCAAGUGUAAGGGCAAAAUUUAAGAUUCCCUUGUAUCAUUAGAAAAAUCAUUGUCUCACUUUUU